CCUACGGGGGGCAGCAGUGGGGAAUAUUGGGCAAUGGGCGCAAGCCUGACCCAGCAACGCCGCGUGAAGGCAGAAGGCUUUCGGGUUGUAAACUUCUUUUCUCAGGGACGAAGCAAGUGACGGUACCUGAGGAUUAAGCCACGGCUAACUACGUGCCAGCAUCCGCGGUAAUCCGUCGGUGGCAAGCGUGAUCCGGAUUUACGGGGUGUAAAGGGCGUGUUGGCGGGACUGAAAGUCAGAUGUGAAAACCAUGGGCUCAACCUAUGGCCUGCAUUUGAAACUGUAGUUCUUGAGUACUGGAGAGGCAGACGGAAUGCCUAGUGUAGCGGUGAAAUGCGUAGAUAUUAGGAGGAACACCAGUGGCGAAGGCGGUCUGCUGGACAGCAACUGACGCUGAGGCGCGAAAGCGUGGGGAUCAAACAGGAUUAGAUACCCUUGUAGUC
rnacentral:rRNA from 1 species